UUUUAUUGGAGAGUUUGAUCCUGGCUCAGGACGAACGCUGGCGGCGUGCCUAAUACAUGCAAGUCGAGCGGACUUGAGGGA
rnacentral:rRNA from 1 species